rnacentral:lncRNA from 1 species
GUUUUUUCUUGUUAACUUGUUCUUUUCAGGCUCAAAUGAAUUAGGGGGCUUGCUAGCUUCCUUCUUCAGCUCAGCUGUUCAUGGCCUGCAUGCAUGUUGGCAUUUUGAAGCAUACUUGGAGUUUGUGUUCCUCUCUUGGCUGAACUGGUGGCUGAGAAACAGAACUUGAGAGACUUCCUUUUGCCUGCACCUCUGUGGAAACAGUGUGACCACUAUGCUAUCACAUAUCAAACCAGCCAAGAUUUUCCCUAGGAAGAACGACUAUCGGAGGAGCAAAUGUUGCCCUAACAGCAGACCGCCUCCUCUCAGCCCAGCACCCAGACUCCAUUGCUUUACGCAGGGAUGGAGAGCAGAGAGCCAGAAGCUCUCAAAGGGAAGAGAGUGCAUUCAUAUGCAAAUGAACAUGUAAUUGCCUGUGAAGCAUCUUGUGGAACUGAAAGCUGUCCAGGUGAAAGAGAAAACCAGCUUAUUCGGAUGGAGUUAAGAGAGCUACAGUCAUAUACUGGCUCUGGAUGA